rnacentral:rRNA from 1 species
GGUAGCUAUGUGUGGAAGGGAUAAGUGCUGAAAGCAUCUAAGCAUGAAGCCCCCCUCAAGAUGAGAUUUCCCAUAGCGUCAAGCUAGUAAGAUCCCUCAAAGAUGAUGAGGUUGAUAGGUCUGGGGUGGAAGCGUGGCAACACGUGGAGCUGACAGAUACUAAUCGAUCGAGGGCUUAACCUAAAAAACA